GCUCCCAUCAGAUCACCUUCAAUACCAACCAUGUUCUCUGUAGCUCUGCUGCUGCUGCUGGCUGCUGGAUCCUGUGUGAAGUGUGAACAGUUGACACAGCCAGCCUCAGUGACUGUGCAGCCAGGUCAACGUCUGACCAUCACCUGUCAGGUCUCUUAUUCUGUUAGCAGCAAUUACACAGCUUGGAUCAGACAACCUGCAGGGAAAGAACUGGAGUGGAUUGGAAUGAGAGCUGGAUCCACCACAUACUACAAGGAUUCACUAAAGAACAAAUUCAAUAUCGACUUAGACUCUUCCAGCAAAACAGUGACUCUAAACGGACAGAAUGUGCAGCCUGAAGACACUGCUGUGUAUUACUGUGCCAAAGACCCACAAUAACACAAACCAUCAGCAGACCUGAACAAAAACCCCUCAGUGCCUGAACACUUGUAACAUGAAGCCACCAGAGGAGGAGCCCUCAGACCACUAAUGAUUUCAACACCAG